UUAUCCGGCCUUCUACCACGCCGCAGUUAAAAUCGUGAACAUGUCGCUCUUUGCAGGCCUUUUGAGACUUAGGAUGGAGGAUCCUGGGAGAGUUUCCGGGGUAGAAGAACGGAAGUGCUCAGGAGGAAGUGCUCAGGAGGACGCUUACAUCUCGAAGGAGGGUGCCGAAGCCCAGCACCGGUGUCCGUCUGUGCUGUGAAAUGGAGGAAUUCCCUUCCAUUGUGUGGGAUAUGUCACGUCCGCCUGUCCAUCCAUCCAGUCUGCUCAGGCUCCGCCAGCGGACAGCCAAGGCCCCGGGUGAGUUGCAGGAUGGUUGGAAGUUACAGCCCUGUCUGGCACCGAGCGCUGUGUCCAGACGCCCCGCACUCUGAGAACCACCUCCUUGUACCUCUGCGCAUUCUGAGAACCAGAGGAAUCAGGUCGUGACGCGGCGUGCAGAGCGGCACUCGUGCCACAGGGGACUCCAGCUGGAUGAACGUCCGUGAUGCAAAGGAGGCCAGGAAACAAGAUUCUUUACACAUUCCUGAGAUAGCGCUUGCUGGGUAAGAUUUCUUACAAACCAGCGUGAUUUCACUUCACCAGGAAGAUUAGGUUCUGUGGAAAUAGAGUGGAGGGGCUGAAAAGUGUUGCAUAUGAACUUUUCACAAUGCUGAAUUUUAUUAAUUCAUUUAAAACGUGAAUAAGGAAAGGAAGGAGGAGAUAGAAUUUUUUGUGCUGAAAAAUUCAGAGAAAAUUUUCAAAUUUAAAAGCCAUUUUUUUUUUUAGCCCCAGCACCUCAAAAAAGCAAACCCAAAAAUAUUUCAAUGAGAAAUGUACUUUGUUCUUCGCCUACCCAACACACAGUCUCAAAAAAUAUCCUCAUUUUUAUUUUCCUGCAGGACCCAAGACCUUUGCACAGAGGCACAUACCCAAUUUUUUCUAUUUUUUAUUUUGAGACAGUCUCACUCAGUUGGUAAGUUGCCCAGGUGGGACUUGAACUUGUGAUUUGCCUGCCUCAGCCUCACAGAGGGCUGGAAUUACAGGCAAGUGCAUCAUUGGUUUAAAAUUCUGACUUGUAAAAUAUGACCUAAAAAUUGGAAAUAGCAAAGGUGGGUGUGGCCAUGCACACCUGUAAUCCGAGCAGUGCGGAGGCUGAGGCAGGAGGAUCACUGACAGUUUAAGGCCAGCCCAGGCUACAUAGUGAAUUCAACAGUAGAUUACAUGGCGAGACUUUGUCUCAGAAAACCAGAACAAAACCAAAAAAAUGAAGAACUUGUUCAUCUACACGUACCUUUUCCAAAAGCUAAAUGACAGGACCAGGGAUUUAGCUCAGUGGUGCCACCACCUGCCUGGCAAGUGUGAGGUCCCGAGUUUGACACCCGGUACCAAAAAAAAAGCCAAAUUCCAAAAUAAUUUGCACAAACUAAUUUUUAUUUAUUAAUUUUUUUUGAGACAGAGUCUUGCUUCAGUUCAGGCUGGUCUUGAAUUUACAGCCAUCCUUCUGCCUCAAUCACUUCUCCCAAGUAAUGGGAUUACAGGAGUGUGCCACCAUGACUGGUUUAAAACCAAUCAUUUUUUCUUAGAGAAC
ensembl:lincRNA